GUGGAUUAGAUACCCGGGUAGUCCACGCCCUAAACGAUGUCAACUAGUUGUUGGGGAUUUACUUCCUUGGUAACGUAGCUAACGCGUGAAGUUGACCGCCUGGGGAGUACGGUCGCAAGAUUAAAACUCAAAGGAAUUGACGGGGACCCGCACAAGCGGUGGAUGAUGUGGAUUAAUUCGAUGCAACGCGAAAAACCUUACCUACCCUUGACAUGGCAGGAACUUUCCAGAGAUGGAUUGGUGCUCGAAAGAGAACCUGCGCACAGGUGCUGCACGGCUGUCGACAGCU
rnacentral:rRNA from 1 species